AGAGUUUGAUCAUGGCUCAGGAUGAACGCUAGCGACAGGCCUAACACAUGCAAGUCGAGGGGCAGCGGGAGCGAAGCUUGCUUUGCUUGCCGGCGACCGGCGCACGGGUGAGUAACACGUAUGGAACCUGCCCGCCACAGGGGGAUAACCGGGAGAAAUUCCGACUAAUACCCCGUAUGCUCACGGUAGCGCAUGCUACAGAGAGGAAACCGCGAGGGGUGGCGGAUGGCCAUGCGGCGCAUUAGCUAGUUGGCGGGGUAAUGGCCCACCAAGGCGACGAUGCGUAGGGGUUCUGAGAGGAAGGUCCCCCACAUUGGUACUGAGACACGGACCAAACUCCUACGGGAGGCAGCAGUGAGGAAUAUUGGUCAAUGGGCGAGAGCCUGAACCAGCCAAGUCGCGUGAGGGAAGACGGUCCUAAGGAUUGUAAACCUCUUUUGUCGGGGAACAACGAGUUGCACGUGUGCGACAGUGAGGGUACCCGAAGAAAAAGCAUCGGCUAACUCCGUGCCAGCAGCCGCGGUAAUACGGAGGAUGCGAGCGUUAUCCGGAUUUAUUGGGUUUAAAGGGUGCGUAGGCGGCAAGUAAGGUCGGCGGUUAAACUGCGGGGCUCAACCCCGUAUCGCCGUCGAAACCGGCAGGCUAGAGUGGAGAAGAAGUAAGCGGAAUGCGAGGUGUAGCGGUGAAAUGCAUAGAUAUCGCGCAGAACUCCGAUUGCGAAGGCAGCGUACUAUUCUCCUACUGACGCUGAGGCACGAAAGCGUGGGUAUCGAACAGGAUUAGAUACCCUGGUAGUCCACGCAGUAAACGAUGAAUACUCGCUGUCCGGCAAGCAUAGAUUGCUGGGUGGCCAAGCGA
rnacentral:rRNA from 1 species